AUGCUCUGGUAUCUCUUCAUCAUUCGAGGCUAAUCUUUCGCCUUUUACUAAAGAUUACCGUGGAGAGGAACAUUACAAUGAGCCUAUAAAUAAUUUUUGGAAUCCUCACCUUGAUGGUGGGGU